AUGUGGACUCUCAGGCGCCACGCAGUUGCCGGCCUCCUGUCGUCCCCCAGCCCGGCCCAGGCCCAGACCCUCACCCGGGCCCCGCGGCCGGCAGAGUUGGCCCCGCUCUGAGGCCUCCAGGCCCUGCGCACUGGCAUGGAUGCAACCUGCACACCCCACCACGCCAGUUCGAACCUCCAUGGCCUCAACCAGAUUCGGAAUGUCAAAAAGCAGAGUGCCUAUUUGAUGAAUUUGAGGAAAUCGGGAACUUUGGGCCACUCAGCCUCUCUAGAUGACCCCACCUAUGAAAGACUAGCAGAGGAAACGCUGGACUCUUUAGCAGUUUUUUGAAGACCUUGCAGAAAAGCCAUACACCUUUGAGGACUAUGAUGUUUCCUUUGGGAGUGGUGUCUUAACAGUUAAACUGUGUGGAGAUCUAGGAACCUACGUGAUCAACAAGCAGACACCAAACUAGCAAAUCUGGUUAUCUUCUCCAUCCAGAUGUUAUAUGGAGUUGCUGGAGUAUGAGAAGAGCUUCUUCAUCCCAACAGCUUUCAAAGUGAAGCAGCAGCUCAUGCCUGUAAUCCCACACAGGAACACAACAAAGAAGCACCGACGCCAGUUAGAAAAUUAUGGCAACCAGUGUGACUGCCAUGGAAAGGCCCUUCCCACAUUUGGCACAUUUUCCAGGUCUAAGAGGGUUUUCAUCAGUGAAAGGGCUGUUGCUGAACAAUGA